ACAGUAAUCAAUCUGCAAAUACCUUGAUUUGGUAUUUUCUCCCCAUCGCUUGAUCUAUGGCGCAAAUUUCUCUCUCCAUAUCAAUGCAAACGCCCUAAUUUGGUAUCUAACGCUCUACCAUAGGAGCCUCCGAGGCAUGCCAGCUCUUCUCUGACGCCCUACCAUAUAUGCAGCCUCUCUUGCUCUCCCAUCGCCUCUCUCCCACUCCCAAAUCUAUAAUCCUAAGUCGUCGCCGCGAGCUUCGUCUCCUCCAGUCGCCGCCGCCGCCGGCUGCAGCUCACCAGGGAAUGCCCCAUUCUUUUCAACAUUGAGCUCAAACACGUUUGGUUCCAGAACCGCAGGUGAAUAAUGCUUACCACGCAUCGACGGUCUUUCAAGCUCCAAAAGAGUGAUGCUUAGAACUCAGCUCCGAUCUAUCAAACUAUGAACACGAUGAUGCUUACAAGUCAGUUAUAGUAUUUCAAGGUCCACACGAGAUGAUGCUCACAAGCCAAUUAUGGUCUCAUGAGUAUUUUAGCUCCAAACAAUGUGGUGCUCAUAAAUUAGAAGUGGUUUGUCAAGAUCCAAACAAAAUGAUGCUUAUAACUUAAUUUCGGUCUUGAAACUUCAAAUGACAUAAUGCUUAGCAUUCAUUUGUGGUCUUUCAAGCUCGAAAUGUGUGAUGCUUAGAAUUCAACUCUGAUCUAUUAAAUUAUAGACGAGAUGACGCUCACAAGUCA